AGCUUUGCGCAGUGGCGGUACCAUAGCCAGUGAGGAAUUUCCGAGGCGUGGUUAUUGCUAGUUGAAAACUAUACCCAAUACCCCGCGCUGACGACCUGCUGGUCGGCUAGCGCAAUUUUUGUCGGCUUCUACGGGAG